ensembl:lncRNA
CUCUAGAGGCUGUCCUACUGCCACGUCACCCUCCCACUACUACCACCACGCCCAGCUCCCAGGACACCAUCAACCAUUCAUUACAACCCUGCACACACCACCAUAACCCCACUCCCAGACCAAUGGGGCCAUCACCACUGUUCCACCAACUCACCAACCUCAGAACAUCCACUCUACCCCCCACCUCUAUCAAACAUCUGCUUCCCCAAUACCACCACCCCACCCACAGAAACCCACGACUACCUACGCCUCUAUUAAACAACUGUUCCAACACCACCACCGCAACCACUGACACCCCACCCUCAGAAAACCAGGACUACCACCUCCUGUUCCCCACACUACCUCCUCUCCCAACACCAACCCACUCACACUACCACCGCCUCUAUCCCACACCGCCCUCAGAAUACGAUCGCUGUCCCCGUACCUACCGCAGUACCCCACUUACUGCCCACCUCCGCAACACGACAGAGCCCUACCCUGCAUACACACCACCACCUCCACCCCUACACAAUCGUCUCUACCUUCUCCAUUGCCAACAACUGUCCUCUUCCAGGCCCUAAGUCCCAAACCACACAAAAUGACUCGGAGACUAUGAGGCAGUUGUAUAUGCAUGACUACACAAAAACAGUUACUUAUUGACUCAUGACAAAUUUACACUAACUAAAUGUGUAUGUGUGAGUCUGUGUGCGUGUGUCUGUGUAUGUGUGUUUGUGAGUGUGUCUGUGUGUGUGUGUGUGUGCAGUAUGUGUGUGUGCAGUAUGAGUGAGUAUGUGUGUGUUUCUGUGUGUGUGCAGCAUGCGUGUGUGCGUGUGUGUGUGUGCACUAUGUGUGUGUGUGUGUGUGUGCACUAUGUGUGUGUGUGUGUGUGUGUGCGUGUGUGUGUGUGGGUGUGCGUGUGUGUGUGCGCGUUACCAUAUGUGUGUCAGGGUUCCCUGUGUUCCUGCAGGAGGUAUGCUGGCUGCUAUGUGGCUUCGGGUUUCCUGUGGAACAGACCGAGGUCAGCUCUCUCAGGUUACCGAGCGGACCGGAGACUCGGAGAUCUCCGCUCCACAAUGGUGACAGGAGCCAACGAAUUUGAGAGGCUUGCUGCCGUCGCCAAGCUGGUCCUGGUGUUGCCCCAUUCCAACGCAGACGCUGAGAGGGUGUUUUCAAUUGUGGGACUGAACAAAACCAAGACCAGAAACAGCCUAGCAUUGGAUGGCCCCCUGUCCUCAAUAAUGACCAUAAAGAUGGCCGACCUGGAGCCCUGUUUCAAAUGGGACCCCCCCUCAGAUGUCCUCAAGGUCUCCAAGAAGGCCACAGGCCAGUAUAACAGUGCCCACAGAUCAUAGAGGAGGACUAGCUUCUGAUCUGCAUCUGAUACUUAUUACCUCAUUUUCAGUUAUUUUUGUAAUGCGUUCAUCUGUUUUAUUGCUUGAAAAAGUUGUACUGUUUAAGCACUUGAAGCACUUUAUUUGUUGCACUUUUAUUUGUUUCUAAUGGAC